AUUGAACGCUGGCGGCAUGCCUUACACAUGCAAGUCGAACGGUAACAGGUCUUCGGAUGCUGACGAGUGGCGAACGGGUGAGUAAUGCAUCGGAACGUGCCCAGUAGUGGGGGAUAGCCCGGCGAAAGCCGGAUUAAUACCGCAUACGACCUGAGGGUGAAAGGGGGGGAUCGCAAGACCUCUCGCUAUUGGAGCGGCCCAUGUCAGAUUAGCUAGUUGGUGGGGUAAAGGCCUACCAAGGCAACGAUCUGUAGUUGGUCUGAGAGGACGACCAGCCACACUGGGACUGAGACACGGCCCAGACUCCUACGGGAGGCAGCAGUGGGGAAUUUUGGACAAUGGGCGCAAGCCUGAUCCAGCAAUGCCGCGUGCAGGAAGAAGGCCUUCGGGUUGUAAACUGCUUUUGUCAGGGAAGAAAUCUUCUGGGUUAAUACCUCGGGAGGAUGACGGUACCUGAAGAAUAAGCACCGGCUAACUACGUGCCAGCAGCCGCCGUAA
rnacentral:rRNA from 1 species